rnacentral:rRNA from 1 species
UAGCCGUAAACGAUACUCGCUAGGUGUCGGCCACGGUGCGACCGUUGUCGGUGCCGUAGGGAAGCCGUGAAGCGAGCCACCUGGGAAGUACGGCCGCAAGGCUGAAACUUAAAGGAAUUGGCGGGGGAGCACCACAACGGGUGGAGCUUGCGGUUUAAUCGGACUCAACGCCGGGAAUCUCACCGGAUAAGACAGCUGAAUGAUAGUCGGGAUGAAGACUCUACUCGACUAGCUGAGAGGUGGUGCGAUGGCGUAGUCGUGU